UACGGAGGGGGCUAGCGUUGUUCGGAAUUACUGGGCGUAAAGCGCACGUAGGCGGCGAUUCAAGUCAGAGGUGAAAGCCCGGGGCUCAACCCCGGAACUGCCUUUGAAACUAGAUUGCUAGAAUCCUGGAGAGGUGAGUGGAAUUCCGAGUGUAGAGGUGAAAUUCGUAGAUAUUCGGAAGAACACCAGUGGCGAAGGCGACUCACUGGACAGGUAUUGACGCUGAGGUGCGAAAGCGUGGGGAGCAAACAGG
rnacentral:rRNA from 1 species